GCUAAGGCCGGGGCAGCAGCCGGGGUAAGAGGAACCGGGUGAAGGUGAUGCGGAAUUACUGGGCUUAAAGGUGGCGGAGGCGGGCUCGCCAGUCAGGGGUGAAAGCGCACGGCUCAACCGUGGAAGUGCCUUUGAUACUGCGGGCCUCGAGGGAGGUAGGGGCGUGCGGAACUUCCGGUGGAGCGGUGAAAUGCGUAGAUAUCGGAAGGAACACCGGUGGCGAAAGCGGCGCGCUGGACCUCUUCUGACGCUGAGGCGCGAAAGCCAGGGGAGCAAACGGGAUUAGAUACCCCGGUAGUC
rnacentral:rRNA from 1 species